GAUGAAGAACGCAGCGAAAUGCGAUACGUAGUGUGAAUUGCAGAAUUCAGUGAAUCAUCGAAUCUUUGAACGCACAUUGCACCUCUCGGUAUUCCGGGAGGUAUGCCUGUUCGAGCGUCAUUUGUACCCUCAAGCUCUGCUUGGUGUUGGGUGUUUGUUCCGCCUCUGUGUGUGAACUCGCCUCAAAACAAUUGGCAGCCGGCGUACUUGUUUCGGAGCGCAGCACAUUUUGCGAUCCAGAUCAACGUACAGCGGCAUCCAAGAAGCCUUAUUUAACGCUCUUGACCUCGGAUCAGGUAGGGAUACCCGCUGAACUUAAGCAUAUCAAAUAAGCGGAGGA
rnacentral:misc_RNA from 1 species